rnacentral:rRNA from 1 species
GAUGAACGCUGGCGGCGUGCCUAAUACAUGCAAGUCGAGCGAACGGACGAGAAGCUUGCUUCUCUGAUGUUAGCGGCGGACGGGUGAGUAACACGUGGAUAACCUACCUAUAAGACUGGGAUAACUUCGGGAAACCGGAGCUAAUACCGGAUAAUACUUUGAACCGCAUGGUUCAAAAGUGAAAGACGGUCUUGCUGUCACUUAUAGAUGGAUCCGCGCUGCAUUAGCUAGUUGGUAAGGUAACGGCUUACCAAGGCAACGACGCAUAGCCGACCUGAGAGGGUGAUCGGCCACACUGGAACUGAGACACGGUCCAGACUCCUACGGGAGGCAGCAGUAGGGAAUCUUCCGCAAUGGGCGAAAGCCUGACGGAGCAACGCCGCGUGAGUGAUGAAGGUCUUCGGAUCGUAAAACUCUGUUAUUAGGGAAGAACAUAUGUGUAAGUAACUGUGCACAUCUUGACGGUACCUAAUCAGAAAGCCACGGCUAACUACGUGCCAGCAGCCGCGGUAAUACGUAGGUGGCAAGCGUUAUCCGGAAUUAUUGGGCGUAAAGCGCGCGUAGGCGGUUUUUUAAGUCUGAUGUGAAAGCCCACGGCUCAACCGUGGAGGGUCAUUGGAAACUGGAAAACUUGAGUGCAGAAGAGGAAAGUGGAAUUCCAUGUGUAGCGGUGAAAUGCGCAGAGAUAUGGAGGAACACCAGUGGCGAAGGCGACUUUCUGGUCUGUAACUGACGCUGAUGUGCGAAAGCGUGGGGAUCAAACAGGAUUAGAUACCCUGGUAGUCCACGCCGUAAACGAUGAGUGCUAAGUGUUAGGGGGUUUCCGCCCCUUAGUGCUGCAGCUAACGCAUUAAGCACUCCGCCUGGGGAGUACGACCGCAAGGUUGAAACUCAAAGGAAUUGACGGGGACCCGCACAAGCGGUGGAGCAUGUGGUUUAAUUCGAAGCAACGCGAAGAACCUUACCAAAUCUUGACAUCCUUUGACAACUCUAGAGAUAGAGCCUUCCCCUUCGGGGGACAAAGUGACAGGUGGUGCAUGGUUGUCGUCAGCUCGUGUCGUGAGAUGUUGGGUUAAGUCCCGCAACGAGCGCAACCCUUAAGCUUAGUUGCCAUCAUUAAGUUGGGCACUCUAAGUUGACUGCCGGUGACAAACCGGAGGAAGGUGGGGAUGACGUCAAAUCAUCAUGCCCCUUAUGAUUUGGGCUACACACGUGCUACAAUGGACAAUACAAAGGGCAGCGAAACCGCGAGGUCAAGCAAAUCCCAUAAAGUUGUUCUCAGUUCGGAUUGUAGUCUGCAACUCGACUACAUGAAGCUGGAAUCGCUAGUAAUCGUAGAUCAGCAUGCUACGGUGAAUACGUUCCCGGGUCU